rnacentral:lncRNA from 13 species
GGCUGCAGCCACCUGGACUCCCACCUGAGAGAACUGUGGUGUGAAAAAAAACAAAAAUCUCCAGCAGCGUCCUGAGGGUGGGCUGCCAGGAAUCUUGAGGGCCAAUCUCUGCUCAAGUAUGUCUGGGAGGUGAGAUAUGGAGUCAAAGAAGAGGAUUCUCUAGACUUAAGAUGGAAUGUUUGCCCUGUUAUGUUUUGGGCUUGUUACUUCUCUUAUUUUUGUUUCGAGUUCUCUGCCAUGUGAGGACACUGUCUCUUCACUCUGGAGAAUGCAGCAUUCAAUGUUCCCCCUUGGAAGUAGAGACUUGACCCCCACCAGAAGCCUGAAGCUGCUGACAUGUUGAUUUUGGACUUCCCUGUCUCCAGAACUAGAGAAGGUGACCAUUUGCAAGUCAGGAAGAAGGCCUUCACCAGAACCCAACCAUGCUGGCACUCUGAUCUCAGACUCCAGUCUCUGGAAAUGUGAGAAAAUAAAUGUCUGUUAUUUUAGAUGCUUAGUCUAUGG